UAGUUACCAAGUAGUCAGUACGUACAUCCUCAUCACUCUAGUUCCACACGCCUCCCAUCCACCUAUCGACAGCCAAGAGCUAGCGCCCAGCCGUGAACCAUGGCAGAACUGGUGAUGGGUGCCAUGGGCAGCCUCAUCCCCAAGCUCGGCGAGCUGCUCAAGGAGGAGUACAGCCUGCAGACCGGCGUGAAGGAGCGCAUCAGCAACCUCACAAAGGAGCUCGUGGUUGCACAAGCCGCUCUCCACAAGGUGGCCGACGUGCCAUGGGACCAGCUCGACGAGCAGGUCCGGCUCUGGGCAUGCGAGGUCAGGGAGUCAUCUUACGACAUGGAGGACGUCGUGGACACCUUCCUUGUCCGUGUCCAGGGUCCUGAUUCUGCAGAGCAGGAGGAGAGCUUGUUCAAGCGUCUCAAGAAAAUGGUGAACUUUUUAAAGAAGACCAAGGUGCGUCGCAAGAUCAGCGGCGAUGUCAAGGACAUCAUGAGCCAUCUACAGGUGGUGACGGAGCGGUGUCGCAGGUACAAGGUCCACGAUAUUGUGGUCAGUCCAGCCACACGGUCCACUGUUGAUCCUCGUCUUCAUGCCAUGUACAACAAUGUGAAAUACCUUGUUGGCAUCGACAAGUCAAGAGAAGAGCUCAUAUCCAAGCUGCAGCCUCCGCAGCGAGAUGAUGUUUCCAACAUGAAGGUGAAGACAGUAUCAAUUGUUGGAGUUGGUGGACUGGGCAAGACAACUCUUGCCAAAGCUGUCUAUAAUAAGCUUAAAGGGGAUUUCAAUUGCGGGGCUUUUGUUCCUGUUGGUCAGAAUCCUAGCUUGGAGAAACUUCUCAAGGACAUUCUUAUGGAUCUUGAUUGGCGAAGACGCCACGAGCUUAGUACUGCAGUACUUGAUCAAAGGCAACUCAUUGAUGAGCUUCGUUCAUUCCUUGAAACAAAGAGGUAUUUUAUUGUUAUUGAUGACCUAUGGGAGAAACAGUCUUGGGAAACAAUCAAAUUGGCUAUUGAUGAUGACAAUAAUUGCGGAGGUAGAAUACUCAUAACUACUCGUAAAUUGGAAGUUGCCGAAAAAGCUGAUUAUGUUUAUAAGCUACCACCACUUCCUAAUGAUAGUUCUAGAAAGCUAUUCCAUACAAGAAUAAAUGGUGAUGAAAGAAAAUAUGUCAUUGAUUAUAAACCGGAUGAGAUAUGCGAUGAUAUUAUAAGGAAAUGUGGUGGUAUACCGCUAGCUAUUAUCACGAUGGCUAGUUUAUUGGUUCGUAAACCAAGGAACAAAUGGUCUGAGAUAUGUAAAUCUAUUUGUUUCGGUGGUAAGGAUGAUGAGGAAGCAGAAAAUACUAUGAGGAUAUUGUCCUUUAGCUACUAUGACCUUCCUGCACAUUUAAGGACAUGUCUGUUGUAUCUUAGUGCAUUCCCAGAAGACUCAGUUAUCGAUAAAGGUUCGUUAGUUUGGAUGUGGGUAGCUGAAGGAUUUGUCCAUAAGAUAGAAGGAAUGAGGUUAUUUGAGAUUGGGGAGGGUUACUUUAAUGAUCUCAUUAACAGAAGUAUGAUCCAAGCAGUAGAGUAUGACUAUGAUGAUACCAUCAUCAUUGGUUGUCGUGUUCAUGAUAUGGUGCUUGAUUUCAUUCGUUCCAUAUCCCGCAAAGAAAACUUUUUCACUAUAUUAAACAAUAAUCAAGACACACAGCUAGAGAAGAGUGUACAUAGGUUAGCCAACCACAAUUGGACUAAGGGGAGUAGUCAUCAGGGCAAUCAUACUGAAAUGCCAAAGUUGAGAUCAUUUAUUGCCCUCGGGUGUGUUAUUGAGACAUGGACCCCACUUUGUAGCUUCACAUAUUUACGCGUCGUUGCUAUAGAAAACUACAGUGCAACGGAUGGUAGCAGUGUCCGAAUUGAGCAUCUAGGACGUUUACUGCUGUUAAGAUUUCUUAGUCUAAGAGGAACAAGAAUAGGUAGGAUCCCUGAAGGAAUAGGAGCUCUAAGUUUCUUGCAGACGCUGGACUUUUUGGGAUCGGACAUUUCAGAAAUGCCGUCGAGUGGCGUCUUGCCAAAACAGCUAGUGUGCCUGUGUAUUACUUUUGCGGCGGAAAGGAAAACGCCGAGUGGCCACUUGGCAAAACAGACUGUGUUUGGUGGCACAGUGUUCUCCGUGGAGGUGAUGACAUCCCUUGAGGAGUUGACAAUAGAGUUUAUUGGUCGGUCUUGUCUUUUGGCAGAUCCUGUGGGGUGGCUUGUGAAAGGUCUGGGCUGCCUUAGGGAACUUAGAGUCCUCAAUAUUUGUUUUAAAUCCUUUGAUGAGGAGGAGGGCGGAAGAGAUCUUGUGGAGUCUCUAGGCCAUCUGGACAAGCUCGAGAGACUAACAAUUUGUGGUCCAUUACUCUCACCCAAGUGGCAAGCAAAGGAUUUGGUUCUCUCGCACGAUCUCCAGCAUUUGGUUGUAAAUAGUAUCUACUUCAGCGAGCUGCCAUCAUGUAUCAAUCCUUGGCGUCUCCCUAGCCUCUCCCACCUGGACUUGUCGCUGCUACAUAUGGACGAGGAGGACCUGAAAUCCCUGGGCGGGUUGCCGGAGCUCUAUUAUCUUAGCCUUGCCUUGCCGUUGUGGUACCCAGUCACAAUACCGAACAUCAGUGACAGUGACGCUUGCUACUUCCCAAAGCUGAGGUGCUUCAAACUGAAGAAUUCAAUGUUCUCGUUCACUGCCAACAAAGACGACAGUGUUUCAUUUCAUAUAUGGUAUGGACUAGGCACCUCCAGGACCUGCGUUUCUGAUGAUGAAAACAGGGGCUCCACCAUUUGUAGCCAAGGCGCAGCAACAGAAGCACCUCGCUUCAUGCCAAGGCUCCAAGUUCUAAACCUUGACCUCCGUUCUCUGUUUGCCAUUCCUAACUGGCUCAACAACUGCAACCUCGGCUGGGAACACCUCUCUUCACUCCAGGAAAUCAAUGCGGAUCUAGAGUAUGCUGGUGUCAAGAACAUAAUAUUGGAGAUGGCGCUGAGACGUGCAGCCAGUGUUCAUCCCAACCAUCCGACACUUCGUAUGAAAAUAUUAUAGAUGUUGACAUGAGCCCCAAAAGAAAGGGAGCAAUACUUCUUGAUUGGCUCAGCUAGCAAGAGUUCUUGUGGAGACUGGAUCCAUCAUCAAUAACUAUGUAUUGAUUUAUUUAUAUCUGAUAAAUCCACGGCCAUGAUAAGGUGGAAGACAUAUAUACUCCUACGUGCCAGAACAAACUGUUUCUUGUGAGGGAGGGCUCUGCCCCUUGCACGGUCAACAACGCAUGACGAGUCCAUGGACCUCCAGCAGCCAGUGCACUAAUUCCUCGAUCGAUGUGACCUGGAUCAAACAGAGCAGCAACUAAUUAGGCUUGGUUCCUGCUUAUUUAGAUAGAUUUCAGUGUUUCCACUUUCUAGAAUGGGAUUUUUCAAGUUUGUUGGGCCACAAAAGGCGGCCAGAUGGGAGAAUUAUCGACUUCCUUUCAGAGCUUCAUGAUGCCUAGUACAUGGUUAAAUAUCAAAUGGCCAGGUGGCUCUGAUUGUAUCUACUACUCCAAAAGUACCUGGCAUGCAGAUGGUUUCAGGAACAAAUUGGAGACGGCACAGAGACGUGCAGCCGAAGUUCAUCCCAACCAUCCCACACUUCAUACGAAAAAGUAGAGAUACUGGCAUGAUCUCCAAACGGCGAGGGAGCGCUGCCCUUGGCAUGGUUCCAGAACACACGAGGAAUCCAUGGAGCUCCAGUGGCCAGCCAACAAACUCGUUGACCUAUGAGACCUGGAUCAAAGAGAGCAGUAACUAAUUUCCGCUUGGUUCCUGCUUAUUUACAUAGAUUUCAGUGCUUGCACUUUCUAGAAUAGGAUUUUUAAAGAGUGUUGGAGGCUUUAGGCACAAACGAUGGUCAAAUGGGUGAUUUGUCAACUUCCAUUUUAGAGCCUGAUGACGCCUCCAUUUACCUAAAUGGCAGCUGGCUCUGAUUGUAUACUACUCAAAAGUGUGUGCUUCCAACAUAUUCAGCUUUGCCUAUUAUUAAUUUCCUUCGUGCAUUUGUGCAUCAUUAAGUUUUUCGCCGUUGUGUGUUGAAUUAUUUUGGCUGGACUUUGGAACUAACGCAGGUCGAUCAAACACUAAUAAUUCAAUGGAGGAAGGCAACAUCUAUCUUGUACAUUUGUGUCUGGCUCCGGGGCGGUGGAUGCCGCUGUGCUGCUCUACGCCAGUCCUGGGCCGUGUGUUCUCGGCGGGGCGGCACGCUAUGGGCGAGGCCUUCCUGGCAUUCCCGUCAUGUCUUGUUUGAUUCUCGUUGAUUUUCUAGGUGAAGUAGUUUUGGGCUAUUGGCUACUGUGCCAACAAAUGAAAAUUGCAAUGGAAUGGUAUAUGCGAAUACAGCAGAAAUCAUUGCUUUUGCUGAAAAAAAAAAA